UACGUAGAGGGCUAGCGUUGUCCGGAAUCAUUGGGCGUAAAGCGCGCGUAGGCGGCCCGGUAAGUCCGCUGUGAAAGUCAAAGGCUCAACCUUUGAAUGUCAGCGGAUACUGCCGGGCUAGAGUCCGGAAGAGGCGAGUGGAAUUCCUGGUGUAGCGGUGGAAUGCGCAGAUAUCAGGAGGAACACCAACGGCGAAGGCAGCUCGCUGGGACGGUACUGACGCUGAGGCGCGAAAGCGUGGGGAGCGAACAGG
rnacentral:rRNA from 1 species